rnacentral:lncRNA from 1 species
UAGAAAACAACCUUUGACAAAAAUACAAGAUAAUACUAUGUACAGUGAUCGGCCCUUACUUCCCGGACCCCAGAUAUAGCAAAAGCUUUACUGCUUAUAAUAAUUAAAAUAGACCAAGAGGGAGUAUUAUAAUGUCAGUAGAGAUCUUUUUUGACAUGAAUUGAUAGUCCAUCUGUCUUUCUAUCUUGUCGACAAGUCCGCCAUUAACUUCCUUUAUGAUGUUCUUUGAGUGCUUGACAAAUCUCUCACGUAAAAUCAGCUACUCCUUCUAAAGUGUACAUUUGAGAAACACCUACAAAUUAUAUUUCAACCGUGAACUUAAACCCCAAACUAACAAGUAAGCAAAACAUAGUAAAGACAGAUUUGUAAUCAUUAUGAGAGAACCUAGAGUUUCACCGCCUCUAUGCAUUCAUUCAAUUUAAUUGACUCUAAUCAUCGUUUAUUUAUUAAGCAGCUUUAAUCAUACGCUACAGUCUUCCACAGACUUUUAACUCAUAUCCAAAUCCAUUAUUAAUAACUCCAGCAUUGAGACACAAAAACUAUUUACACAGAUCGAUAUCAAUUGCAAACUCACAAUAGAAGAGAACAUGGAUAAUCUUUUUUCACCAAAUCUACAAAAUCAUGGGCGCAGAUAAUCAAUCAGAUAUGAACAACAACAAAAUGACAGAUAGUUCAUUUUUCCUUUCACCAAAUCUACAACGUGUGAGUCACGAACUCAAACCUUCCAUUCAUACGUAAAGCAGAUAGAAAAGUUAAAAACACCAGCUAAGUCGGAUGAUGAACACUCCAAAUCAGAUAGUUCCAUUAUUCAGACUGGACUGUUACAGAUGCAUUAUUAGUUUCCACAAGAAGUCCAAAGGCAGGAUUGGCUUUCUACAUAAGACCAUGAUGCUCGUUCUGGAGUCCCUUCAGGAUGCAUAGCUCCAAAAAACUCAGCAUCCCUCCAGCGAAUUGUAAAGAAAUUAACUAACCCUGCAGAUCAGAGAAUAGUUGGAGGUAAUUGAUUUAAACCAACCAAGUGUUCUAUAAUAUUAAUGUGGAGAUAAAACAUGCAUACUAUCUCAUUCAUUGCAAAAGUAAAACUACGAUCCCAAACGAUAUAUCAUACGUGAUACAGUGGUCACAUAAACAUCUUAUGAUCUCUGAACCGAAAAGUUAUUUUUUCUAGGUAAUUCACACAGUGCAGCACGAAAGAUUGAUUAAUCACUGAGUGUCUUAUAUCUUUGAUUGAUUAAUCACUGAGUGUCUUAUAUCUUUACUUUUUCAUCGAGAAAAAGUUAAUCUAGUGUUUUACAUGAUUUGCUGCAGCAGAGGCAGACCAAUCAGAUAAUUACAACUAAGAUCUCUAAUAGACUUUGGAGUAUUAGCUUUACUUCUACGUGAUUCACAGACUGCAGCACUAAUAGGUGAUUAGUUACUGGCUAUUUUAGACGAUUUUCAAGUAGAAUAACCAGAUAAGUACAACUAAGAAACUACUCUUGACUUUGAAGUAUUAGCUUUCAGAGGAAUUGAAGAGUCAUGAAGCAUGGUAUCAGGCAUCAAAAGAUGAUUGAAAGUACCGUUUUUACAAUUGACUUAAACAAUGCAAAUUAAACAAAAUAAUUGAAAGUACCAUUUUUACAAUUGACAAUGCAGAACAAACAAGAAAUUAUGGGGAAAGCAAAUUGAUCAAAUCAAAUAUCACUAGCGAAGGCAUGAUCAUAGGAAAAAUUACGUAUCAAAAAUGGAAAACAUGACACAAACAAAUACACUCUUCAAGAGGGGUAUAUUAAUAAACCUCAUUUCAUCACCUUUUUUUCCCUCUAAAAGUAACUUUUACAAAACUAAUCCUCAGUAGCAAUUACACCUUGAGUGAAAUACUUUGAUAAUGAAACAAAAAAUAGCCAGCACCAAGCUAUGAAAUCAAAGAGCAGAGAAAUGAGAACACUCAAAGGACGACAACCCAGCAUGAAAUCUACUAGAAGUUAUAAAGCAACACCAAAAUCAAAAUCCAGAUCCUUAGAAUGAGUGCACGACCAAAAUAUGGAGAACGACAGGGCCUCAACUAUAUAUAAGCAUGAGUAUAUCGAUCUGAAGCAUGACAUUCUCUUAUAUUUAGAGUGGAAGUUGCUUUAGUCCAUACUCCACUGUAGUAGUCUAUCAUGGUGGGUGUGAAUAGGUUAUUGUUGCCCGCAAUAGGAAAACAAAAGAAUGCCCUACUUAC